rnacentral:lncRNA from 1 species
AGGCCAUUGUUAAGACUUUGAAGGGUUUCCCUCAAAGCGUUGACAUAACUGCAUUGUUUUUAUAUGAGGAUCGUUCCAGCUGCUGCACUGAGAAGUGACUGAGGGGGCACAGAGACAAAGUAGAGAGACCAGUUAUGAGGCAAAGAUCCAGAUGGGUCUUUGCAGAGACCAGAUUUGACUUCUGCUUCAUGAGAAAAUUUGAAAAUAUUUCUUUUAACAGGCAGGUUGUGCACUUGAAAAGGGGCCUGGGAACUGAGGAGAAGCCUAUGCUUUUAAAGUAAGAGCAGGUCGUAAGCUGUAACGCGGCAAGUGGAGGCUGAGAAGACGUGGACAGGAAGUUGCUACUGAGAAAUG